rnacentral:ncRNA from 21 species
ACUAGAUGUAGUGGGGGUAGGGGGUUUCGCUGGAGAUCAGAUGGAGAUCCGGCGCACACCCCUCAAGAGGGAACCCGGUGGGAAUCCGGGACUGCCCCGCAGCGGUAUCAGGAAACGACAGGCGACUGGAGACCCGGCAAUCACCGGCAUCCGAGCACUGGCCUCACGGCUGGGAAGCGUCGCCCGGUAGGAACCCGGCGUCGGCCGGAACGUCCUGGAGCCCGAAGACCUGCCGACACCCGGGCGUCACUC